UGUCUCUCUCUCAUUCUCAAUAUCACUUUAAGACGGAUUUCAAAAGGGAGGGGCUUGAGAGGGCUGCUCCCCAGCUCAGGUGGCAAAGUGUUGCUCGCUUCUCACGGACAGUUUGGCCAAGCGCUUCCGUUUCCAUUGGAGAGAAUGCAGAAGUCAUUCCAUGCUGACAACCAGUUUAAAUAAAACCACAGAACAGCAUUUCAGCAAUCAGCAGCUUCCUAGAAAAGGGCCCAUUGGCAAGCAUCAUGGAGAAAGAAACAAGGAAGACAGAUGAAUCAGGACAAAGAGAAAGGAAAAGAGGAUGCAAAUCAGAGGAGCACGGAAGAGUCUGAAAUAAAGGCAAAGAGACAAGAAUUCUGAUUAAGAAGCCUUGAAGAGAUCAACAAGGGCCCAGGCUGUUGCUCAGAGGGAUAGCAUUUGCUCAACAUGUGCAGGGCCUCAGGUUUGAUCACAGCAGCACAUCCACACAAAAGCCACUCUAUCACUUCCUGCAGACCCUUCCCCUUUUAUAUAAUUAGAGAAAUACUUCCAAUAGAUGCAUGGUUAUUUGUUGGGGUGGUG